CUGGGGCCUGGGCAUCCAUUUGAGGCCUGAUGUCUACCUAAGACCCAGUGUUUAACUGGGGCACAGAUUUCUUCCUGGAGCCCGACGUUUAUCUGGAGCCUGAAGUUCACCUCUGCCUGUUGUCUACCUGAGGCCUAUGUGUCAACCUAGGGCCUGAUGACCACCCUGAGUUCAGUGUUCACCUGGGGCCUGACAUCUGCCUGGAGUCUGGGUGUCCACAUAGGGCCUGAUGUUGGCUUGGGACCAAAGUAUUUACCUAGGGCCUGGGUGUCUACUUACAGCCUGACUUCUACAUGGUUCAUUGUGUCAACCUGGGGCCUGAUGUCCACUUAGGGCCUAGGUAAGCUCCUUAUGACUAAAGUCCACAUGGGGGCUGAAACCAUCUCAGACCUUGAACCUAGGGUUUAGUGUCGACCUGAGACCUGGUGACCCCCUGGGGUCAAGGUAUCCACCUUGGGCCUGAUGACCAACUGGGGUUUAAGGAUCUACCUAGAGACUGGUGUCAACCUGGAACCUGAUGUCCACUUGGGGUCUGGUGUACACCUUGGGCCUGAUGCCCACCUUGGCACAGGUGUACACUUUGGGCCUAGUGUGCACCUGAAGCCUGGCUGUCAACCUGGGUCUUGAUGCACACCUCUAGUCAAGUGUUAAACUGGGGCCUGAUGAAAUACUGGAGCCUGAUUUACACCUGUGUACUGAGUCUCCAGCUGGGGCCUGAUGUCCACCUGCAGCCACAUAUCCACCUGGCACCAGAUGUCUACAAGGAAUCUGGGUGUCCACCUUGAAAAUGAUGUAUUCCAAGAGACUAGGCAUGCACAUUGGGCCUGGGGUCCACCUGGGUCCUGAUGUCUACCUGAGGCUGGUAUUGAACUGGGGCCUGUGUGUUCACUUGGAGCCUGAUGUUCAUUUGGAACCUGGUGUUCACCUAGGACAUGGGUAUCCACCUGGAUCCUGAUUUUCAAGUGGGUAGUGGAUAUAGACCUGGGAACUGAUGGCCACCUAUGCUAUAAGUAACCCAACCACCUGGGGCCUGGUGUUCACCCGCAGCCUGAUAUCCACCUGGUACCUGUGUGUCAAUCUAGUGCCUGGUGUCCACUUGAGGACUAGGCAGACACCUGGGGCUUGGUGUUCACCAGGGGCCUGGUGUUCAUCUUGCACCCAGUGUCCACCUGGACCCAGUGUAUCAACCUGUGGCCUAGGUGGCCACUUGGAGCUUUAUGUGCACCUGGGGCCUGAGAGUUUCCUAGGAUCUGAUGACCACUGGGGCCCAGGUAUCCACCUGGGAUAUCAGGCUUCAGGUGUACACCCAGGCUCCAUGUGGACACCAGGCCAGGAGAACGCCAGCCCUUAUCUGAACAUCAGGUCCUAGAUGGAUGCCCAGGCUCCAUGUGUACAUCAGGCCCCAGGUAUACACUGGACUCCAGGUGGACACCAGCACUCAAUUGGAUACACACACUUAAGGUGGAUACCAGGCCCCACGUGAAUUCCUACACUCCAGGUGAACAUCAGGUCCCAAGUGGAUACCUGGACCCCAGGUGGAUACCAGUCUCUAAAUUAAUACCAGGCCUCAGAUGGUCCUUAGGAGCCAUGUGGGCAUUAGUCAUCAGGAAGUUACCUAGGCCCAAAGUGGACAUCAGGCCCCAUGUUGACACAAGAUCUAGUUGGAAGUCAGGCCCCAGGUGGACACCCAGGCCCUAGGUAAAUACUUAGGUCCCAAGUUGACAGCAGGCCCUAUGUGAACACUCAGAACUCAGGUGGACAUCAGGCCUCAGGUGGACAUCUGAGUUCAUCUGGAACCUCGUGUUACAGGCCCCAUGUAAACACCAGGCCUUAGAUGGAUACCCGAUCUCUAGGUAGACAUCAGAGCUCAGAUUGACACAAAGACUCCAAUAGACAUAAUGUACCAAUGAAUAUCCAGGCGCCCAGUAAAUACCCAGGCCCCAGAUUGACACCACGGUCUAUGUGGACACACAGGCCCCAGGUAGUAAACAGGCCCAAGGUGGACACAACCAUGCUCCAAGUUGACACCAGGCCCCAAGUGAACAUCUGGCCCCAGCUGGACACUAGUCCCCUGGUGAAUACCUAGUCUGAAGGUUGACAUCAGGCCAUAUGUGAACACUAGACCCCAGAUAAACACUUAUGCCCUAAGUGGACAUCAGGCCUCAGGUGGUUACCCAGUCCCAAGGUGAACAUCGGGACCCCGAUGGGCACCAGUUAUCAAGUGGAUUCCUAGGCCCCAGGUGAAUAUCAAGCCCUAGGUGGAUACCGAGCCCCAGGUGGAUACCUGGAUCCUGGUAGACAUCAGGUCCCAAGAGGACACUAGAACCCAGGAGUACAUUAGGCCACAGGUUAACACGAAGGCCCCAGAUGAAUACCAGGCCAACUUGUGGACAUCAGGCCUGAGAAGGGUCCUGUGGACAUCAGGCCUGAGAAGGGUCCAGGGCGAUAUCAGGCCCCAGGUGAACAUCCAACACUCAGAUGAACAUUAAGCUUCAGGUAGGCAUCAUGCCUCAGGUGAAAUCCAGGCCCCAGCUGAACAUCAGGCCCCAGGUGGAUGCCCAGAAUCCGGGUGCACAUCUGGCCACAGUUGGACAUUCAACCCCAGGUGACCAUCAGGCCAUGGGUGAAUACACGGUUUCCAGGUAGACAUCAGAUCAAAGGGGAACAUCAGUCCCCCAGUGGACAUCAGGCCCAAGGUGGACACUCAACUAGAGGUUUACAUCAGGCCACAUGUUGACACCUAAUCCCAGGUGGACAUCAGGCCCCAGCUAGAUACCUAGGCUUCCAGUGAAUUUCAGACACCAGGUUGACAUUCAGGCCCCCAGUGGUCAUCUGGCCUCAUGCGAACACUCAGACCCCAGGUGCAAAUGAUGUCUCAACUGGAUACCAAACCCCUUGUUUGAUAACCAAGGCCCAGGUGGACACCAUGUCCAAGGCUGACACUCAAGCCCUAAGUGAAUACCAAACUCUAGGUGAAUAAUUCAACCCAGGUGGUCAUUAGGACCCAGCUGCAUACCAGUCCCCAGGUUAACACAAGGCCCCCAGUGGGCACCUAGGCACAAGCUGGACAUCAGGCCCUAUGUAAAUACCCGGGUCUCAGGUGAACACCAUGCCCCAAGUGGACAUCAGGCCCUAGGUGAACACGGGGCCACAGGUGGACAUCUAGCCCCUGGGCAACAUCCAGCCCCAGGCGGACAUAACCAUUUCCAUGGAUAAACCAUUCCCAGGUGGAUAUCAGGCCUCAAGAGGAUGGCAGUCACCAGGUAGACAUCAGGCCUCAGAUAGACACCAAGGUCUCAGAUGUACAGCAGGCCCCAACCGAACCCCAGACUCAUGUGGACAUCAGGCCACAGGUAGACACCAAGCCUUAGGUAGAUACCUAACUUCAGGUAGUCAUCAGACCCAAGGUGGAGACCUGGUCCCCAGAUGGACAGUCAGGCCCCAGGCACACAUCAGGCCUUAAGUGGACACCCAGGCCCCAGGUUGAUAUCCAGUUCCCAGGUGAUCACCAAGCCCCAGGUAGACACCAGGCCAUAGGUGAGCAACAGGAUGCAGUAGGUCAUCAGGCCACAGCUGGAUACCAGUCCCCGGUGAUCACAAGGCCCCAGUGGGACAUAGAUCUAAGGCAGACAUCAGGCCCCAGGUGGACAUACAGAUCUGAGGUGGAAUUCACCCUGAGGGGGACAUUCGGCCCCAGGUACGCAUCAGGCCUCAGCUGAAUAACCAGUCCCCAGGUGGACAUUAACCCACAGGUCAACCACAGUCCCCAGGUUGAUAUCUGGUCCCCAGGUGGCAACUCAAUCUGCAGGGUAACAUUAGGCCCCUGUAGGAUCCCAGGCCCCAAGUGGAUUCCUAGGCCCCUGGUGAACAUCAGGUGCAGGUGUCCAAGUAGGCCCUGGGUAGACAUAACUGUGUACAGGUAAGGAGUUGACCUGUGGGGAGGAUGAGCGGUCAGCAGCCCACUGGGGUCCUCAGUAGGUCUUCUGGAAGGAGGAGGCUGAGGGGAUGGAACCUUAAAGAAGCAACCUCACUUCCUUGGCAACAGACCCUAACAGAACUUAGAAUUCUGGUAACCAGGCCAGGCACGGUGGCUCACACCUGUAAUUCCAGCACUUUGGGAGGCUGAGGCAGGAGGAUCAUGAAACCAGGAGAUCGAGACCAGCCUGAACAACAUGUCUCCACACAGCUACCACAGUGUGCAAGUAGAAGUCUCAGCCGUAUCACCACACUCCUGCUUUAAUGUCCCUACUCCAUUGCUGCUUUUCUCCUUCAGAAGAGUUUAAGCUUAAUGAAGCUGGGAAACUUUACAUAUUUUUCCACGAGCUGGAGAUCACUUGGUGUAAGGCAAAUCUGGAGAUUUUCUCAAGCCUCUUUAUGAAAAUGGAGAGACCUCACAAGAGAUGCUAAUGGACAGCUGACCCUGCUCUCUGCUCCAUCACAGGUUGUAGAGUAUUAAUUCCCAAGUUACCCAGACAUUUAGUUCUGAAUGUGCAAAAAUGGUUUAGGUUCAAAUGUUUUCAACUACUGACAAGCUCAAGAAUUCAGAGGAGGUAGUACUAAGGGAAAUGUAAUUAAUAUAUAAUAUCAAAACUUAAGCAUAGCACCAUAACACCUAAUUUUUGAUGAUGUCAAAUACUUAAAGUUCUCCCUUUUUAUUUUCUGGUGAAAGGUGCGUAGUAUACAAACCUCUACUAACUUCUUGGGCUUCUGAAUAAAGGAAAGGACUACCUAAUGACAGUAAUAGCUUGACUGCUGAAGAAUUAUGUCAAUUAAUAAAAAUUGCUUCAUAGGAAAAA